rnacentral:rRNA from 1 species
GAGGGAAUAUUGGGCAAUGGACGAGAGUCUGACCCAGCCAUGCCGCGUGCAGGAAGACGGCGUUCUGCGUUGUAAACUGCUUUUAUCUGGAAGAAAAAGUCCAUGCGUGGAAAAUUGCCGGUACCAGAUGAAUAAGCACCGGCUAACUCCGUG